GAUAGUGUUAGAAUUGGUCAAUCAAAUAUGCUCGGAAAAAGCUUAAUUAACAUAUUACGUAGAAGUAGAACAACAGUUCAACCAUUUCACGUGCCAAAAAGAAACUUUGCUCAAGUUGGUAUAGUUAUAUGUACUCCACCAAGGAAUCCAUGUUCGUACGGGGAGAAAGUAUUACAUAUACUGUUUAUGUACUGCGUCUGGUUUUUACCAAUGGCCUAUUUCCUUAGCCAGCUUAAAGUGUGGAGAAGGGAAUAUGUUCAAUCGAAUUAAAAAACAAAUAUAUAAAUUUAAAUAAAUGUUUUAAUUGUA